rnacentral:rRNA from 1 species
UACAGAGGUCUCAAGCGUUGUUCGGAUUCAUUGGGCGUAAAGGGUGCGUAGGCGGCGGAGUAAGUUGGGUGUGAAAUCCCGGGGCUUAACCUCGGAAUUGCAUUCAAUACUGCUUCGCUCGAGUACUGGAGAGGAGGCUGGAAUUUACGGUGUAGCAGUGAAAUGCGUAGAUAUCGUAAGGAAGGCCGGUGGCGAAAGCGAGCCUCUGGACAGUUACUGACGCUGAUGCACGAAGGCCAGGGGAGCAAACGGG